GUUUGAUCCUGGCUCAGAUUGAACGCUGGCGGCAUGGCUAAAACAUGCAAGUCGAGCGCGAAACCACCUUCGGGUGGGAGUAGAGCGGCGAAAGGGCGAGUAAUGCAUUCCUACGUACCCCAAGGUCAGGGAUAGCCCAUGGAAACGUGGAGUAAUACCUGAUGUGGUCCCUCGGGAUUAAAGGCUUGCCGCCUUGGGAGCGGGGAAUGUCCUAUCAGGUUGUUGGUGAGGUAACGGCUCACCAAGCCGAAGACGGGUAGCGGGUGUGAGAGCAUGACCCGCCGCAUCGGGACUGAGACACUGCCCGGACUCCUACGGGAGGCUGCAGUAACGAAUAUUCCGCAAUGAGCGAAAGCUUGACGGAGCAAUGCCGCGUGCAGGAUGAAGCUCUUCGGAGUGUAAACUGCUGUCAGGGUGCAAGAACAAAAUGACUAUACCCAAAGGAAGGGCCGGCUAACUUCGUGCCAGCAGCCGCGGUAAUACGAAGGGGGCUAGCGUUGUUCGGAAUUACUGGGCGUAAA
rnacentral:rRNA from 1 species